AAACCAACAGGGAUUGCCCUAGUAACGGCGAGUGAAGCGGCAACAGCUCAAAUUUGAAAUCUGGCCCUCGGGUCCGAGUUGUAAUUUGUAGAGGAUGCUUUUGGCGCGGUGCCUUCCGAGUUCCCUGGAACGGGACGCCUUAGAGGGUGAGAGCCCCGUAUGGUUGGACACCAAGCCUCUGUAUAGCUCCUUCGACGAGUCGAGUAGUUUGGGAAUGCUGCUCUAAAUGGGAGGUAAAUUUCUUCUAAAGCUAAAUAUUGGCCAGAGACCGAUAGCGCACAAGUAGAGUGAUCGAAAGAUGAAAAGCACUUUGAAAAGAGGGUUAAAUAGCACGUGAAAUUGUUGAAAGGGAAGCGUUUGCGACCAGACCUUUUCCUAGCGGAUCAGCUUGUGUUCGUCACUGGUGUACUUCGCUAGGUUUAGGCCAGCAUCGGUUUCUAUAGGGGGAUAAAAGCUCUGGGAAUGUGGCUCCUCCGGGAGUGUUAUAGCCCUCUGCAUAAUACCUUUAUGGGGACCGAGGACCGCGCUUCGGCAAGGAUGCUGGCGUAAUGGUCGUCAACGAC
rnacentral:rRNA from 1 species